AUUUAUUAAUGAGGAAUAUAGGAGGAGAGAACCAGACAUCACUGCUGGGACUGAACUCUGAACCUCAUGCUUUGAGAGCCCAGUGCGUUAGCCACUACAUCACCUCCUGGACCACUUGCAGUCACGCUGAAGGCUUGGGUUCCUGUCUAGUUCUUGCUCUUUGCUCCAAGAUGACCUUUUCUUGGGGGUCAGGGGGAGGGACCCACACGGCCACCACUGUCCCCAGUGCGCCGCUCCUGGACUUCCCAGCCCGGACCUUCACGAGGCCCAGCAGGCUCAGACUAUGAUGCAAGUCCCUGCACCUCGUUCAAGGACGUCCACAAGGCCAGACACCUUCUCAUCUGCACCGAGGUCCCGACUCCCCUGGCUGCCAGCUGAGGGCAGCGGGGGACAGGGACGCAUACUUGGGCGCCCUUGGAAUGGUGUGGACAGAGGCCCUGACAGCUGUCUCCUUCAGGGGGCAGCUUCCUGGGUACUCAGGGGUGCUGCCUAGCAGGUGGGCAGGUACGUUCUGAAACUCAGAAGUUCCAGGGGUGGUCUCUGGGACCUGUUUCUAGCCUCCCCACUGCCUGCAGUUUGCAAAGCACCUGACUUUCUUCCCUGUCAGCAGCCCAGAGCACACGCGUGUGGCUGCUGAGGCCGCAGCUCAGCCUGUCCCUGAACCUCCCUGAUGGGGCCCUGGGGCCCCUGGCAGACCAGGAGGAGCCCUCCCCUCUGGGGCGCUGUCCCUUCCCACCCAGCCCUGGGGGCAGAGGGCUGGGCCCCACUCCAGGAUGACCAAACGCCACUGCCUGCCCACUGGAUGACUAGGAAAAUCACCCAAGCCCUCUGGCCGAGAGGUUUCUUCAUCUACGGGGCCAGGCAACUAUUGCAACGGAGGGCGAGAGGACGCAGGCAGCUCGGCGGGUGCAGCUGGGAGCGCGGCCUCCACAGACCCCGAGUCCCGGACGUGCGCCCCAUCAUGGCUGCAGCCAGGCACCCCGUGGGAGGCGUGGCGGCACUGAAGGAAGCGCCGGUGCUGCCAUUUUUCUCUCUGAAUAAAGAAGCUGCCGAG